rnacentral:rRNA from 1 species
GACGAACGCUGGCGGCGUGCUUAACACAUGCAAGUCGAACGGGCCUGUCUUCUUUUUUGGGGGGUGGGUUGAGUGGCGAACGGGUGAGUAUCACGUGAGUAACCUGCCCUUCGGUCCUGGAUAACCGCUUGAAAGGGCGGCUAAUACGGGGUGGUCCGGUUGGUCCGCAUGGGCUGGUCGGGAUAGAUUCACUGUUUUUGGUGUUUCGGCGGGGGAUGGGCUCGCGGCCUAUCAGCUUGUUGGUGGGGUGAUGGCCUACCAAGGCGGGGACGGGUAGCCGGCCUGAGAGGGUGGGCGGCCACACUGGGACUGAGAUACGGCCCAGACUCCUGCGGGAGGCAGCAGUGGGGGGUAUUGCACAAUGGGCGGAAGCCUGAUGCAGCGACGUCGCGUGAGGGAUGGAGGCCUUCGGGUUGUGAACCUCUGUUUCCGGUGGUGAAGGCCCUGUCCGUGUGGUGGGGUUGACGGUAGCCGGGGAUGAAGCGCCGGCUAACUACGUG